UUUGUACUCCCUCCGUCCGAAAAUACUUGUCAUCGAAAUGAAUAAAAGGGGAUGCAUCUAGACGUAUUUUAGUUCUAGAUACAUCUCUUUUUAUCCAUUUUAAUGACAAGUAUUUUCGGACGGAGGGAGUAUUGU
rnacentral:pre_miRNA from 1 species